rnacentral:rRNA from 1 species
CGAGCGAACUGAUUAGAAGCUUGCUUCUAUGACGUUAGCGGCGGACGGGUGAGUAACACGUGGGCAACCUGCCUGUAAGACUGGGAUAACUUCGGGAAACCGAAGCUAAUACCGGAUAGGAUCUUCUCCUUCAUGGGAGAUGAUUGAAAGAUGGUUUCGGCUAUCACUUACAGAUGGGCCCGCGGUGCAUUAGCUAGUUGGUGAGGUAACGGCUCACCAAGGCAACGAUGCAUAGCCGACCUGAGAGGGUGAUCGGCCACACUGGGACUGAGACACGGCCCAGACUCCUACGGGAGGCAGCAGUAGGGAAUCUUCCGCAAUGGACGAAAGUCUGACGGAGCAACGCCGCGUGAGUGAUGAAGGCUUUCGGGUCGUAAAACUCUGUUGUUAGGGAAGAACAAGUACGAGAGUAACUGCUCGUACCUUGACGGUACCUAACCAGAAAGCCACGGCUAACUACGUGCCAGCAGCCGCGGUAAUACGUAGGUGGCAAGCGUUAUCCGGAAUUAUUGGGCGUAAAGCGCGCGCAGGCGGUUUCUUAAGUCUGAUGUGAAAGCCCACGGCUCAACCGUGGAGGGUCAUUGGAAACUGGGGAACUUGAGUGCAGAAGAGAAAAGCGGAAUUCCACGUGUAGCGGUGAAAUGCGUAGAGAUGUGGAGGAACACCAGUGGCGAAGGCGGCUUUUUGGUCUGUAACUGACGCUG